ACACCUCGGGAUUGCCGAAGUCUCAGGCUGAGCGCAGCGGCCGUCAGUUCUGCGCGGAUAGUCUGACCAGUCGGUCCUUCGAAGGUCCUUGUCCUCGUGGUGAUCGAUUGGUGGUGAUGAGCAG
rnacentral:sRNA from 1 species